AGAGUUUGAUCAUGGCUCAGCCUGAACGCUGGCGGCGUGGCUAAGACAUGCAAGUCGUACGGAUGUAGCUAUACAUCAGUGGCGAACGGGAGAGUAAUGAAUCGCUAAUGUGCCCCGGACUCUGAGAUAGCCAUCCGAAAGGAUGGGUAAUAUCAGAUGACACCACCUUACCGCAUGGUGAGGUGUUCAAAGGUCCGCCGGUCUGGGAGCAGGCGAUUUCGUAUCAGCUAGUUGGUAGGGUAACGGCCUACCAAGGCGACGACGCGUAGCCGGACUGAGAGGUUGGCCGGCCUCAUUGGGACUGAGACACUGCCCAGACUCCUACGGGGGGCUGCAGUAACGAAUCUUCCGCAAUGCACGAAAGUGUGACGGAGCGACGCCGCGUGUGGGACGAAGUUCUUCGGAAUGUAAACCACUGUCAGGGGUAAGAAAGUUCUGAUCUACCCCAGAGGAAGGCACGGCUAACUCUGUGCCAGCAGCCGCGGUAAGACAGAGGUGCCGAGCGUUAGGCGGAAUCACUGGGCUUAAAGCGUGUGUAGGCGGGUUUGUAAGUACCUUGUGAAAUCCCACGGCUCAACCGUGGAACUGCUGGGUAUACUGCGAAUCUUGAGCCACUUAGGGGCAACCGGAACAAAUGGUGGAGCGGUGAAAUGCGUAGAUAUCAUUUGGAACGCCAAUGGUGAAAACAGGUUGCUGGGAGUGUGCUGACGCUGAGACACGAAAGCCAGGGGAGCGAACGGGAUUAGAUACCCCCGUAGUCC
rnacentral:rRNA from 1 species